UUCGGGUCGCCGGCGAGUGGCAAACGGGUGAGUAACGCGUGGAUACCUGUCCUGUGGUGGGGAAUAACGUUUAGAAAUGAACGCUAAUACCGCAUAAGCCCUGCGGGGGAAAGAUUUAUCGCCAUAGGAGGGGUCUGCGUCGGAUUAGCUAGUUGGUGGGGUAACGGCCUACCAAGGCGACGAUCCGUAGCUGGUCUGAGAGGAUGAUCAGCCACACUGGGACUGAGACACGGCCCAGACUCCUACGGGAGGCAGCAGUGGGGAAUAUUGCGCAAUGGAGGAAACUCUGACGCAGCGACGCCGCGUGGGUGAAGAAGGCCUUAGGGUUGUAAAGCCCUUUCAGUGGGAAAGAUGAUGACGGUACCCACAGAAGAAGCCCCGGCUAACUCCGUGCCAGCAGCCGCGGUAAUACGGAGGGGGCCAGCGUUGUUCGGAAUUACUGGGCGUAAAGGGCGCGUAGGCGGUUGAUCAAG
rnacentral:rRNA from 1 species